GACGAACGCUGGCGGCGUGCUUAACACAUGCAAGUCGAACGGAAAGGCCCUGCUUUUGUGGGGUGCUCGAGUGGCGAACGGGUGAGUAACACGUGAGUAACCUGCCCUUGACUUUGGGAUAACUUCAGGAAACUGGGGCUAAUACCGGAUAGGAGCUCCUGCUGCAUGGUGGGGGUUGGAAAGUUUCGGCGGUUGGGGAUGGACUCGCGGCUUAUCAGCUUGUUGGUGGGGUAGUGGCUUACCAAGGCUUUGACGGGUAGCCGGCCUGAGAGGGUGACCGGCCACAAUGGGACUGAGAUACGGGCCAGACUCCUACGGGAGGCAAAAGGGGGGAAUAUUGCACAAUGGGCGGGAGCCUGAGUCAACAACGCCGGGGGCGGGAAGACGGCCUUUGGGUUGUAAACCGCUUUCGCCUGUGACGAAGCGUUAGUGACGGGAAUUGGUAAAGAAGCACCGGCUAACUUCGUG
rnacentral:rRNA from 1 species